AUUGAACGCUGGCGGCAUGCCUUACACAUGCAAGUCGAACGGCAGCACGGGUGCUUGCACCUGGUGGCGAGUGGCGAACGGGUGAGUAAUACAUAGGAACAUGUCCUGUAGUGGGGGAUAGCCCGGCGAAAGCCGGAUUAAUACCGCAUACGAUCUACGGAUGAAAGCGGGGGACCUUCGGGCCUCGCGCUAUAGGGUUGGCCGAUGGCUGAUUAGCUAGUUGGUGGGGUAAAGGCCUACCAAGGCGACGAUCAGUAGCUGGUCUGAGAGGACGACCAGCCACACUGGGACUGAGACACGGCCCAGACUCCUACGGGAGGCAGCAGUGGGGAAUUUUGGACAAUGGGCGAAAGCCUGAUCCAGCAAUGCCGCGUGUGUGAAGAAGGCCUUCGGGUUGUAAAGCACUUUUGUCCGGAAAGAAAUCCUUGGCCCUAAUACGGUCGGGGGAUGACGGUACCGGAAGAAUAAGCACCGGCUAACUACGUG
rnacentral:rRNA from 1 species